rnacentral:lncRNA from 1 species
UAUUAGUUUCUUUGUUUGAAAAUAGAAAUGAUGGGGAUGCCUGGGUGGCUCAGUUGGUUGAGCAUCACACUCUUGUUUUCAGCUUAAGUUGUGAUUGGUGAGAUCAAGCUCUGUGUCAGACUUUGAACUAGGCAUGAGGCCUGCUUGAGAUUCUCUCUCUCCCACUGCCUCCCCUGCCCCCCACUCGUGCAUGCAUGCGCAGUCUCUCUCUAAAAUUAAAAUAAUAAAAUAAAAUAAAAUAAAAUAAAAUAAAAUAAAAUAAAAUAAAGAAAAGAAAAAGAAAGAAAAUAAAAUGGAGAUUAUGGUAGUUAUCUUGUUAUGUUUUCCUAAGAACUAAGAAAUUGCAUAUAAACAAUCAAUUUAUUUAGCAUAAAGAGGUUAAAGAUACAAGACUAAUAUUUAUUGAAUAAAUUCCAUGUGCCAAGUACUAAGUGGUAACUACUUUAUUGCAUUGUUUUAUUGAAUAUGCACAACACUGCUUAAGAAUAGAAGCUAUUAUUGUUCUCCCUUUACAGAUGAAGAAACUGUACUAUCGUAAAACUAUGUGAGUUGCCUUUAGAUAGCAUACUGCUCUGACAGUUGUUUGAGUGCAGUCCUUUCUGAUGCCAAAGUUUCUGUACUUACAUUCAUUCAUAAAAUCAACAAACAUUUAUUGGGUAGCUAACAAAAGCCAGGCUUCUUUUGGCUGGAAUGCCAUGCUAUUUCCAAAAUGAUUAUUGCUUAGAAUAUAACAACUGUAUGUUUAUAAGACACAUUAUAGUUUACAAAUAAUUUAUGAGUAAGUAAUUUUGUUUACUGAUGAUAUACCCCGUAUGAAAGACAAAGUUGGGAUUAUUACAUGUAUUUUACAGAUGGAAACAUUGAGGUCCCAAGAGGUUAACUGGCUCACUGGAUGUCUUACAUGCUCAGUGCUUUUCAGAUUCUCUGGGUGAGAAGAGAAAAACAAAAUGCAGCUUUCAAGGUUGGUACUUUUCAUGAUGUUUUAAAACGUCUUGUUAAUAUGAAACAGUAUAAAAGAAGCAGAACAAAAUAUAUCCUUAGCUUCUCACAGAUAGUGAUUAGAGGACAUUAUGUUUUUAUUUUUCAUACUCAUGGAUGGAAAAGUCUAACAGAGAUUGUAACAGAAUGCAAUAUAGCAAUCAAAUAUUAUUCCUGAUUAAAUCCUUGUCAAAAUUAUAGAGUUAGAAAUAUUCAGUAUUUUUCUACCUCAUCCAUCCAUUUAUCCAUUCACCCACGAAUCCAUUAAUCCAUCCAUUUACCAUUAUGGUUUUUUUCAGUAAAUACUUAUUACUUACAUAUCAUAUAUAAACCCUGCCAUCUGAUAUUCCAUCGUUUAUACUUUGUUUGGCUCACUCUCACCGUAUCCUUAAUCCUACAUCUUCCAACCUUUCUCACUGUUUCAGGUAACAAACUUUCACCUCUUAUCACAGGUUUUCAAUUUAGCUUGCUGUAUUUGAUAAAGGAACAGUGUUUCCACAAUGUUGCUUAGCCUAAUAGGCUUUCAAAUAUAUCUACUCCCAAAUAAUUGGGGCAAAAAGGAAAUCAUCAAUGUGAUAAUAAGGAAAAGACUCCUUUCUACAUAAUGAUGCAUUGUGUAAUGCCUUUCACUGUUUUGUGAUAUGUAUUAUUAUAUGUAGAUUAUCAUUGUGUAGUUUAGAAAUAUAUCUAUAUACAGUACUCUAUAAUAUCAGCUACUCUUCCUCAAAAUUCUAGUGUAUAGUUCUUUUUACCUUGUUAGCAAUCUUAAGACUUUCUGAAGAACAAAUGUAUUACACUAUGAACAAGGCAUUACAGAUGCAUAUGAAUGGCCCUUUGUAAGAACAACAGUGGUAGAUUGAAGCAAAUUUCAUGAGAAGCAGAGACUGAGCAAGAGUUAGUGAAUGGAAAUUUGAUAGUAGAAUACUCCUUAUAUUAAGGUAGAUAAAUAUUGUUAUAACUUGUAGGGCUAUUUUAUUGUUCCAUUUUAACGAACACUGGUAUCCUUAUUUUUAAAAUAUUUAUUUACUUUCAGAAUACUUAUUUUAAAAGGGCUUUCUCAAGUACUCCUUUACUAUCCUUGAUUUCCCCUAACUCAUUUAAAAAAAAUAAGGUCCCGAGGUCCUCAGUAGAAAAUUCUGCUACCAGAGGUGUGCUUUCAGAAACUUAACUGUGAUAAUUGGGAAGGGACUUUAGUGUCUGUCUGCUGAUCUAAUUUAAUUUAACUAACCUAAAUUAAAAUAGUCCUAUAUUAUCUCAGCCAUCAAUCUAUUUAAUUAUAAUACUUACUGAGAGGCAGUAAGUAGUGGUUGAGAAGUUAGGCUCUAGAAUCAGAUUGCCUGAAUUUCAAUCCUGUUUACUCAUCUACUAUUUGUGUGUUGAGUGAACUUAUUAGCAUCUCUAAUACUUGAUUUCCCUCGUUGUAAAAUGAGAGAAAAAAAGAGUCUUUAUCUCAUAUGGUUGUUGGGGAAUAAAUGAGAUGACGUAUUUACAAAUUACAUUGGCAUAUUGUAAGAACGUAGUAAAGAGAUAGUUGCCAUUAUUACUUUGUUUCAUGACUAUUGUAAAACGUUAUUAUUAGAGGUAGGCAGCAUCUCUACUUCUCUGAAUUAAACUUCUCUCACGGACUUGAUCU